rnacentral:sRNA from 1 species
GCUAGGCAUGAUGGUGCAUGCCUGUAAUCUCAGCAACUUGGGAGGCUGAGGCAGGAGGAUUGCAAGUCCUAGGCUAGCCUCAGCAACUUAUCGAGGCCCUAAGCAACUUAGCAAGACUCUGUU